GACAGAGGUGCCAAGCGUUAGGCGGAAUCACUGGGCUUAAAGCGUGUGUAGGCGGAUCGUUAAGUACCUUGUGAAAUCCCACGGCUCAACCGUGGAACUGCUGGGUAUACUGGCGAUCUUGAGCCACCUAGGGGCGAGCGGAACAAACGGUGGAGCGGUGAAAUGCGUAGAUAUCGUUUGGAACGCCAACGGUGAAAACAGCUCGCUGGGGGGUGUGCUGACGCUGAGACACGAAAGCCAGGGGAGCGAACGGGG
rnacentral:rRNA from 1 species